AUGCUCGUUUUGAGAUCAAGGUACUAUCCCACGGGUGAUAUUCUAAAUUGCGAGUUGAAAAAUGGUUCAUCUUUUGUAUGGCAAAGUAUAUGGGCGGGAAUUUAAACUUUCAAGAAGGGUAGUAUAUGGAGAGUUGGAGAUGGAGCAAAAAUAAAUAUUUGGGAUGAUUGCUGGAUACCGAAUAGCUCUUCAAGGAAAAUAGUGACAGUUCGGGCGAAUCAAGUGCUUACUAGAGUUCAUGAAUUAAUAGACCCAGUCUCGGGGGAAUGGGAUGAACUGCUUAUUCGUGAUAAUUUCUGGCCUAUUGAUGUGGACCGCAUUCUUCAAAUCCCAAUCCAUCAUCAGGAAAGGGAAGACUACAUCGCGUGGCACCUCACGAAGAGUGGCGUUUUUACGGUAAGGUCAGCAUAUUAUAAACAGUGGGAAGUGUGUUAUGCGGCAACCUUGGGUGCACUUCAGUCAGGUGGAUCUUCAUCACAUCCGGUGUGGAAAAGAUUAUGGAACCUUAAGCUACCAGGGAAGAUCAAAAAAUUUCUAUGGAGGUGUUUGCACAAUGCCAUCCCAUGUCUUUGUGUCCUUGCAAACCGACAUAUUGGCAGUAACUCUCAGUGUCCAGUAUGUUCUUCAGGAGCAGAAGAUAUAAUGCACGCCCUUUUUAAAUGCCCCCGAGUAAUGAAAAAUUGGGAAGCUCUUGGAAUAGCAAAGGAAGUAGCGGAUGCAACGCUAGUGGAUCGUGAUGGUUCAACAUUGAUUGAAUUUAUGCUAUGUGAUCAAGACUCUCAGCGCAUGUAUAUGGACCCAGUUGAACUACCAGAGUUGUUUGCAACGGCAUGUUGGUACAUAUGUUGGCAACGCAGGCAAUUGGUCCGGGGUGAGCAAGUUCAGUGUCCAGUUCGGACUGCUCCAGCAAUCUAG
rnacentral:rRNA from 1 species